UACGUAGGUGACCAGCGUUGUCCGGAUUUACUGGGCGUAAAGAGCGCGCAGGCGGUCGUUCAAGUCGAGUGUGAAAGCCCCCGGCCCAACUGGGGAGGGUCACUCGAUACUGAUCGACUUGAAGGCAGGAGAGGGAAGCGGAAUUCCCGGUGUAGUGGUGAAAUGCGUAGAUAUCGGGAGGAACACCAGUGGCGAAGGCGGCUUCCUGGCCUGUUCUUGACGCUGAGGCGCGAAAGCUAGGGGAGCAAACGGG
rnacentral:rRNA from 1 species